UAGCCAUGUUGUAGACAUGAAUUUAUGAGAUCCUUAAAUCACUCCUAACAUUGGAAUAAGGUUUCAUCUUCUUUUUGCACAAAAUUCAUGAUUGUUUUCCUUAAGGUA